CCUACGGGAGGCAGCAGUGGGGGAUAUUGCACAAUGGGGGAAACCCUGAUGCAGCGACGCCGCGUGGGUGAAGAAGCGCCUCGGCUCGUAAAGCCCUGUCAGCAGGGAAGAAAAUGACGGUACGUGGAGAAGAAACCCCGGCCAACUACUGGGCAGGAGCCGCCGGAAUACGGAGGGGGCAAGGGUUUGCCGGAUAUACGGGGUGUAAAGGGGGGGCAGGCGGGGAAGCAAGCCAGGAGUGAAAGGCCGGGGGCCAACCCCGGGACUGCGCUUGGAACUGCGUGGCUAGAGUGCAGGAGAGGCAAGCGGAAUUCCUGGUGUAGCGGUGAAAUGCGUAGAUAUCAGGAGGAACACCAGUGGCGAAGGCGGCCUGCUGGACUGCAACUGACGUUGAGGCCCGAAAGCGUGGGGAGCAAACAGGAUUAGAUACCCUAGUAGUC
rnacentral:rRNA from 1 species